GACGAACGCUGGCGGCGUGCUUAACACAUGCAAGUCGAACGGAAAGGCCCUGCUUUUGUGGGUGCUCGAGUGGCGAACGGGUGAGUAACACGUGAGUAACCUGCCCUUGACUUUGGGAUAACUUCAGGAAACUGGGGCUAAUACCGGAUAGGAGCUCCGGCUGCAUGGUGGGGGUUGGAAAGUUUCGGCGGUUGGGGAUGGACUCGCGGCUUAUCAGCUUGUUGGUGGGGUAGUGGCUUACCAAGGCUUUGACGGGUAGCCGGCCUGAGAGGGUGACCGGCCACAUUGGGACUGAGAUACGGCCCAGACUCCUACGGGAGGCAGCAGUGGGGAAUAUUGCACAAUGGGCGGAAGCCUGAUGCAGCAACGCCGCGUGCGGGAUGACGGCCUUCGGGUUGUAAACCGCUUUCGCCUGUGACGAAGCGUGAGUGACGGUAAUGGGUAAAGAAGCACCGGCUAACUACGUG
rnacentral:rRNA from 1 species